rnacentral:tRNA from 1 species
GGAGAGGUAUCGAAGCGGUCAUAACGAGGCGGUCUUGAAAACCGUUUGCCUUCACGGGCACAUGGGUUCGAAUCCCAUCCUCUCCG